rnacentral:rRNA from 1 species
UACAGAGGGUGCGAGCGUUGUUCGGAAUUACUGGGCGUAAAGCGUGCGCAGGCGGUGAUGUAAGACAGAUGUGAAAUCCCCGGGCUCAACCUGGGAACUGCAUUUGUGACUGCAUCGCUGGAGUGCGGCAGAGGGGGAUGGAAUUCCGCGUGUAGCAGUGAAAUGCGUAGAUAUGCGGAGGAACACCGAUGGCGAAGGCAAUCCCCUGGGCCUGCACUGACGCUCAUGCACGAAAGCGUGGGGAGCAAACAGG